rnacentral:rRNA from 1 species
AACGAACGCUGGCGGCAUGCUUUACACACGCAAGUCGAACGGCAGCACGGACUUCGGUCUGGUGGCGAGUGGCGAACGGGUGAGUAACAUAUCGGAACGUAUCCAAUAAUGGGGGAUAACGAGUCGAAAGAUUCGCUAAUACCGCAUACGCCCUACGGGGGAAAGCUGGGGACCUUCGGGCCUGGCGUUAAUGGAGCGGCCGAUAUCUGAUUAGCUAGUUGGUGAGGUAAAGGCUCACCAAGGCGACGAUCAGUAGCUGGUCUGAGAGGACGACCAGCCACACUGGAACUGAGACACGGUCCAGACUCCUACGGGAGGCAGCAGUGGGGAAUUUUGGACAAUGGGCGCAAGCCUGAUCCAGCCAUUCCGCGUGAGUGAAGAAGGCCUUCGGGUUGUAAAGCUCUUUCGCAAGGGAAGAAAACUUAGCCACUAACAUUGGUUGAGGUUGACGGUACCUUGAUAAGAAGCACCGGCCAACUACGUGCCAGCCGCCGCGGUAA